rnacentral:rRNA from 1 species
GACGAACGCUGGCGGCGUGCUUAACACAUGCAAGUCGAACGGAAAGGCCCUGCUUUUGUGGGGUGCUCGAGUGGCGAACGGGUGAGUAACACGUGAGUAACCUGCCCUUGACUUUGGGAUAACUUCAGGAAACUGGGGCUAAUACCGGAUAGGAGCUCCUGCUGCAUGGUGGGGGUUGGAAAGUUUCGGCGGUUGGGGAUGGACUCGCGGCUUAUCAGCUUGUUGGUGGGGUAGUGGCUUACCAAGGCUUUGACGGGUAGCCGGCCUGGGAGGGUGACCGGCAACGUGGGGCCGGAGAUCCGGCCCGAACUCUUCGGGGAGGAAGAAGUGGGAAAAAUUCAAAAAUGGGCGGAGGCGUAAGCAAGAAAGGCGGGGUGGGGAAGAACGGCCUUGGGGUUGAAACCGGCUUUGGCCGGUAAGAAGGCGUGGGGGACGGAAUUGGGUAAAGAAGCCCAGGCAAAUUAGGG